rnacentral:rRNA from 1 species
UACGUAGGGUGCGAGCGUUAAUCGGAAUUAUUGGGCGUAAAGGGUGCGUAGGCGGAUAUAUAAGUUAGAUGUGAAAAGCCAGGGCUUAACCUUGGUCGUGCAUUUAAGACUGUAUGUCUAGAGUUUGUAAGAGGGGGGUAGAAUUCCAAGUGUAGCAGUGAAAUGCGUAGAGAUUUGGAGGAAUACCGAUGGCGAAGGCAGCCCCCCGGUAUAGAACUGACGCUGAGGAGCGAAAGCUAGGGGAGCAAACAGG